rnacentral:rRNA from 1 species
UACAGAGGUCUCAAGCGUUGUUCGGAUUCAUUGGGCGUAAAGGGUGUGUAGGUGGCGCCGUAAGUCGGGUGUGAAAUUUCGGAGCUUAACUCCGAAACUGCAUUCGAUACUGCGGUGCUUGAGGACUGGAGAGGAGACUGGAAUUCAUGGUGUAGCAGUGAAAUGCGUAGAGAUCAUGAGGAACACCGGUGGCGAAGGCGGGUCUCUGGGCCGAUACUGACGCUGAGGAGCGAAAGCGUGGGGAGCGAACAGG